rnacentral:rRNA from 1 species
GACGAACGCUGGCGGCGUGCCUAAUACAUGCAAGUAGAACGCUGAAGAGGGGAGCUUGCUCUUCUUGGAUGAGUUGCGAACGGGUGAGUAACGCGUAGGUAACCUGCCUUGUAGCGGGGGAUAACUAUUGGAAACGAUAGCUAAUACCGCAUAACAAUGGAUGACACAUGUCAUUUAUUUGAAAGGGGCAAUUGCUCCACUACAAGAUGGACCUGCGUUGUAUUAGCUAGUAGGUGAGGUAACGGCUCACCUAGGCGACGAUACAUAGCCGACCUGAGAGGGUGAUCGGCCACACUGGGACUGAGACACGGCCCAGACUCCUACGGGAGGCAGCAGUAGGGAAUCUUCGGCAAUGGGGGCAACCCUGACCGAGCAACGCCGCGGGAGUGAAGAAGGUUUUCGGAUCGUAAAGCUCUGUUGUAAGUCAAGAACGAGUGUGAGAGUGGAAAGUUCACACUGUGACGGUAGCUUACCAGAAAGGGACGGCUAACUACGUG